rnacentral:rRNA from 1 species
GAUGAACGCUGGCGGCGUGCCUAAUACAUGCAAGUCGAGCGAACAGACGAGGAGCUUGCUCCUUUGACGUUAGCGGCGGACGGGUGAGUAACACGUAGGUAACCUACCUAUAAGACUGGGAUAACUUCGGGAAACCGGAGCUAAUACCGGAUAAUAUUUCGAACCGCAUGGUUCGAUAGUGAAAGGUGGCUUUGCUAUCACUUAUAGAUGGACCUGCGCCGUAUUAGCUAGUUGGUAAGGUAACGGCUUACCAAGGCAACGAUACGUAGCCGACCUGAGAGGGUGAUCGGCCACACUGGAACUGAGACACGGUCCAGACUCCUACGGGAGGCAGCAGUAGGGAAUCUUCCGCAAUGGGCGAAAGCCUGACGGAGCAACGCCGCGUGAGUGAUGAAGGUCUUCGGAUCGUAAAACUCUGUUAUUAGGGAAGAACAAACGUGUAAGUAACUGUGCACGUCUUGACGGUACCUAAUCAGAAAGCCACGGCUAACUACGUG